rnacentral:rRNA from 1 species
CGCCUGUUUAUCAAAAACAUGUCCUUAAUGAUUUUUUUUAAGGUCUAACCUGCCCAAUGAUAAUUUUAAUGGCCGCGGUAUAUUAACUGUGCUAAGGUAGCAUAAUAAUUUGUCUUUUAAUUGAAGGCUAGAAUGAAUGGUUGGACGAAGUGGAUUCUUUCUUUAAUUUAUUUUUUUGAAUUUAAUUUUUGAGUUAAAAAGCUUAAAUUUUUUUAAGGGACGAGAAGACCCUAUAGAUUUUUAUAUUUUUUUCUAAAAAGGUUUUUAGGGAAUUUAAAUUUUAUUGGGAAAUUUUAUUUGGCUGGGGUGGUUACAGAAUUUGAAUAACUUCUGUUUUUUUAUUUUCAUAAAUUAAUGUAUUUUUGAUCCAUUAUUAGUGAUUAAAAGAUCAAAUUACCUUAGGGAUAACAGCGUAAUUUUAUCGGAGAGUUCAUAUUAAUGAUAAAGUUUGCGACCUCGAUGUUGGAUUAAAAUAAGUAAUAAAUGCAGUUGUUUAUUUACUAGGUCUGUUCGACCUAUAAUUUUUUACAUGAUCUGAGUUCAAACCGGAG